AGAAAAGAUGGCUUCCAAUUAUGUUGAAAUCUUUACUCGUAUUUGGGAGACUUUUUGUGCACAGUGGAAGCAUAGGGGACCAACAGAAACAUACCUGCAAGACUUCGUAGACGACUUGCACGAGAAUGGGGUUAUUAGAGUCGAGGACAUUCUAACUACUAUCGCACUGGGAGUUGCAUUUACCCUCGCAAGAUAUGUAGCGACAGCUUUCAUCUUUAAGCCACUUGCUUUAUAUUUCAAAUUUAUACCAAAAGAUGUCACAAAGUUUCCUGAGAGUGCAUGGAAGGUGUUCUACUAUUUCAGCUGUUACAUGUAUUGCUGUUACAUUCUCUACUGUGGAAAAUAUUCUUUUAUUGAAGAUCCUGACAGUGUUUGGACAGAGAUGAAAAUUGCAGGNCUUGCCUCAAAAGUAGAAAUUCCAUCAGAUAUCUACAUCUUGUACGUUAUACAAACUGGAUUCUACUUGCAUUCUAUCUAUGCAACUUUCUUUAUGGAUAAAUGGAGAAAGGACUCCAUUGUCAUGAUAUUGCAUCAUGUAUUAACAAUAUGCUUGCUUGCUUUCUCUUUCGCUAUAAGAUACCACAACAUUGGUGUUAUAGUUCUUUAUUUACAUGAUAUAGCUGAUGUCUUUUUAGAGUUUACCAAAAUUUGUGUAUGUUUUAAAUCUCGGUCUGAAGAUUGUAGAAUUGCUGAUCGUCUUGUAAAUUUUGGAUUCUUGAUGUUUGCUUUUGUAUGGGCAAAAUGCAGACUGUACCAGUACCCUUAUAGAGUCUUAUAUGUGACUGGCCACACGUCAAUGAAAAUUGUUCCUGAGGGAAAAUUCUAUCUCUUUUUUAAUUUCAUGUUGUGGGCGUUGUUUGUAAUGAAUAUUUAUUGGUUCCACUUUAUUAUCUUGUUAAUUUGGAGAGUUAUAAAAGGAGAAAGUCGAGAGGUUGAAGAUGUCAGAGAGUUAAGUAAGGAAGAGACAAAGAAUAAUUUCCACAAAAAGGAAAAUGGUAUGAAGAAUGGCAAAACAAAUGGGCAUGAAUCCUAUAUCAUAAAGUCCAAAGAUCAAGCAAUCAGGGAGGAGAAAAAUGGUAUCAUUGAUAAAGCAAAGCACUUUCCACACCAGAGAAGGAAGAAGAACUUACAGGGUAACUAGUAGACUUUGGACUUGAAACAACUUAUAUGGUGUACAGUUGAAUGCAAACAAUAUACCUAAAUUAAUAGUGGUAAUAAGACAAUACGGAACAAAGGAGUUUAGCUGUCUGCAAUAUAUUUCUUGGGUAUGUUGUUUGCACUCUAAUAGGAAUAGUAUAACAAAUUGAAACAAAAUAAUAUCAAUCAGUCAAUAGAAAUGAAAAAUCACUUAAUUACAUUACUGAAUGUCUUUUUUAAUAAUAGUACAUAUGAAAAUACACUCUGACAUUGUAUCAAACAAAAAAAUCAGAUUNUCAAGAGAUUUUUACCAGUUGCACUGGCAUAGUUUUGUUCACUAUAAGUACUGUGAAUGCUGACAUUCACCACCUCAAUUCAAAAUUCAGUAUUCAGUAGUGCAUCAGUCAGUNACUCAGUGACUGGAGCCAAGUAACAUGACAGGGAGGAAUUUUUGAAACAUUCUUUAAUACAACAUCAAUCCACAGGGAGGUGGGGUAAUGAAAGUCUUAAUGCAAGGAAAAUACCCCCCAGGGCAAGUUGUGCAAAGGGUAGUUAGGUAGUUACGUAUAUAUUCCAUAUAUUUUGNAUGACUUUCCGUUUUAAUCCUGUGGAUAGCGCUAUCUGCUCAUUGUACAACCGGCUCCUUGGUUUGACGGUAAUGAGUGCCGUAAUCUAACAUGACCAAUGCAUUAAUGAAUUGCUAGUUAACUUGCUCAAUGAGCACAACUAAUAAUUAUACUUCAUAAGGGAGUCUUUUGUUAUUGCUAUCAAGUGCAUCCAUGAUUUCAUUCAGAAGUAGGACCGCUAUUUCAAUUUUUNCUUUCAUUGAAAUGCACCAUUCCAGUCAAUUGGAGAAAUUCUGCUUGCUAAGGUAGUUGUUAUUUCAAAUUUAAACCCUUAGCUUGUCAUAAAAAUGCAGAUUAUGCUUGAACAACCUCUAACAAACAUAAGUUCAAUGUAUUUGAAUGAUUUGCGAUCUCUUUUAGCGACAAAUAGAGAGAAAAUCAAAUAACAUAUCAAUGUCAUUGUCGAUAUCGAUGAUGGAAAAAUGAUGAUGUAAAUGAUUUCCAUUAAUUUUACAGAAUUUUGGACACUUACAUCAUAUUUACAUCAAAUUUACAACCUGUAAUUUUUCCAGUGUUAGCGGUGUCAGAAUUUUUGCAAACGACUAUGCCACAACGAUACAUCAUUACAUUGCUAACUAGGUUGUUGAGCAAGGUGUGAAAAAAAAAAAAACAAUUCUUGCAAGGUGUGGAAAGUAGUACAAAACGUUUUCUUUUUUAUUGUUUGGGAUAAAAGCAAUCAAAGCUAAUCGUCGAUCUAGUAUCAUAAAUCCUUACAAAUUCAAGGCAUUAUAAAUGCAUAUGGUCAUCAUUAAUUUGUGGUAAUUUUGUCAUCAAUGUNUAAAAGCAAUAAAGAUAUACAAAGAAAAUUACUGUAUUUUUCCAAAAAGUAGUCUAACAGUGUAAACAAGUACAAAGUUUUACUUUCUAUUGUUACCAUUGGAUUGACCAGGUCCAGUUCACUGUAGAAUGAGCAGGGUUUGGUUNCAAGUAAUUAAUAGCUAUAUCAAGUAAACUUGCCAGAGCAUAACGGCGAUUACACGACCGAACGUUAUUCAGUAUUUUUUGUUCUGAAAAACACUUAAGAACCAAACAAAUCACCGUCAUUAUUGAUUCCAUCUCAUGGGUGAAUACUGCCGUCAAUCCAUACUCACUUUACUUUCUGUCGUGGAUUCGCUCUUCGCUGUGACAACCUUCUUUGAAAUAGAUAAAUAUGUUAUCACAUGUAUCAUACAAAUGGUAGUAACUUUAUUAUUGCUUGAUGUCUGGAAAUCAUUGGACUUUACCUUUUUUCCCCGCGGGGUUGAGUCGGGCAAUGAUAAAUGGUUAUUUUGUAAGCUUUAUGCAUCCAAGGGCCUGAUAUAUAAAGCGGUCUGGCAAGAUAAACUGGCUGGUUUUUCUUGUUUUCUUACUCCUAAAGGCAUGUUUACAUUACAAUUUUCAAUUUUUGCAACAAUUCUAUCGCACGUUAAAACAGUUUGCAAAUACACGAUGAUUUCAAAGUGAUAAUUGUAGCGAUUUACACUAAAAUUUCGAGUUUUUUUCGAAUUUGCUACGAUAAACAGGUCUGCGAACUGUUGCCGUGAAUUUUCGGACUGUUUCCAAACUCCAUUUUGCGAUGAAAUUGCAUUACAAAAUCGAUGCUCAUCCCACUUCAUAUAAUCAGGCUCUAAGUCCUUGCUUUAUUGUUACGUUUACAUGUAAAAAGACGCAGUGCAAACGUUGAGUGAAUCAUAAGUGUUAAAGUAAGUAAUAUCAAGAUGCGUGUAUNGUCAGACCAUUGCCAUCAAUCAGNUUAUUGUCAUUUUUGUUGUUGUGUGGCAAUAGUUUUUACUCCCGAAACUGCACAGACUAUGAAAUAGGUAAUAGUACAUGUAUGUCUUAGAGCGAGGGCAUUUAACCAACAAAAGAAAAUUUAACUUUGACAGGUUACAUGUUCUAAGUCUACUGUAGAUAAAUAUCAUUGAAAAGUUGUUUUCAUUUGACUGCNCAAUGGAAAUAACUAUUUAGUUGAUAUUUCUUUGUAAAGAACAAAAGAAACAAUAGAUUCAAAGUGUGAUACCAUCCAAUAGUCUCUCUAAUCAUCCACAAUCAAACCAAUAAGCGCGAAUCGUUAUCUUAUUUUGUAUAGUUUAGUAAAUAUUAUUCGAUAAUGCAUGUUUCUUUGAACGUAUACAUCUUGAUUAUAAAUCAUAUCAUUCAUUUAACGAUUCGUUAAGAUAAUUAUUUAAUGUCAAUCAGAAAAAAAUUGUUUUAUAUAGUAUAUAUUUGAUCUUGAACAUAUUUUAAAUGCAAUAAUCACAAUCUCCUCAGUUAAUGGCCCCGAUUUGUCUUUACUUAUAAUAAGUACUUUCUUAGGGGUAUCAAGGAUGAAAACAGUAGAGCAGAGUCACAUGAACCAUGAAAUAANAACUANAAANUANUAACUAAUANGNACUAUUAGUUCCUAAUAGUCGUUAGCACUGAACCAGAACAGUUNAUUUGAUCCAAUAAGCAAUACCCAAGAGACCACUUUAACAAUCAAAGUAAUCUCUUUGUACUGUUCUGGUUCAGUGAUAGUGUCUAAAUAGUGCCUAUUAGUAACUAAGUAUUUAGUUUCUAUUUCAUGGUUCAAGUGACUCUGCUCUACCUCUUUUAAGUGUUCAAGCUAACCCUAGAGGGUACCCACUUAAUACAGUUACUACUGUACUAUAAACCUAAAGCAAGAGGAAAUCAGAAUAUCUUAUCGAAAAUAAUCAGUAAUUUUAAUUAAUCAGAAAACAUAUUAUAAUUUGACAUCAAUAAAUCAUUUAACAAGCAUCA
rnacentral:misc_RNA from 1 species